rnacentral:rRNA from 1 species
AACUGAAACAUCUAAGUACCCGGAGGAGAAGAAAACAACAGUGAUUCCGUUAGUAGUGGCGAGCGAACGCGGAGUAGCCCAAACCCAAUUUGUUACGGCAAGUUGGGGGUAAUAGGACCACGACAUUUGAUGCUUAAUGAACUAGAAUCUACUGGAAAGUAGGACCAUAGAGGGUGAUAGUCCUGUAUAGGUAAGUUAAGUUAUUGAUAGUGGUAUCCUGAGUAGUGCGGGGCACGUGAAACCUUGCAUGAAUUUGCCGGGACCAUCCGGUAAGGCUAAAUACUCCUGAGAGACCGAUAGUGAACCAGUACCGUGAGGGAAAGGUGAAAAGAACCCUGAAUAAGGGAGUGAAAUAGAACCUGAAACCAUGCGCUUACAAGCGGUCGGAGCCAGAUUUAUCUGGUGACGGCGUGCCUUUUGCAUAAUGAGCCUACGAGUUACCGUUGCUAGCAUGGUUAAUCGAUUCAGUCGAGGAUCCGUAGCGAAAGCGAGUCUGAAUAGGGCGCUAAAGUUAGUAGUGGUAGACGCGAAACCGUGUGAUCUACCCAUGAGCAGGUUGAAGCUUUGUUAACCCAAAGUGGAGGACCGAACCCGUUGACGUUGAAAAGUCUUGGGAUGACUUGUGGGUAGGGGUGAAAGGCCAAUCAAACUCGGAAAUAGCUCGUACUCCCCGAAAUGCAUUUAGGUGCAGCGUUGU